rnacentral:piRNA from 1 species
AGAACUGGACCCUUGACCUAAAAUGACC